UCCCUCUAAACCUUUGUGUUUGCUCAGAUGUGUCUAGUAGGGUUUUGACACUGACUUCUUUUUUUUUCUUUGUAAAUAUUUUGUUUUAGUUGUAGUUGGACACAAUACCUUUAUUUUAUUUUUAUGUGGUUCAGAGGAUCGAACCUGGCACCCUGCACAUGCUAGACAAGUGCUCUACUGCUGAGUCACAACCCCGACCCAUUAACAUUGACUUCUAAUCUUCUAUUAUUUCCAGUGGGAUGAGUCCUUCCUGAUAAUGAGGGACAAUCAAAACCAAACCACGGAUGGAUGAUGUCUUCAGAAGAGGAAAAAAAAAAUCAUUGAAAUACAAGGGGAAAAAAAUCAUAGGAAUUUCCUAUGUGAGCCCUACUAAAAAAUAAAUAAAGCCAAGAGAUUGUGAAGGAAGGGUUCUGAUGCAUGACUGUCUAACAUUAAAAGUAAAAGAUAAUGGAAAUUGAAGAAGACCUUAGAAAAUGGAAAGGCCUCCCUUGUUCCUGGAUAGGCAGAAUUAAUGUAUUCAAAAUGGCCAUACUACCAAAACUGUUAUACAGAUUUCAUGUAAUCUCUAUUAAAAUCCCAAUGACAUUCUUCAUAGAACUAGAAAAAGCAAUCAUGAAAUUAUUUGGAAAAAUAAGAGACCCAGAAUAGCCAAAGCAAUCCUUAGAAAGAAAAGUGAAGCAGAAGGCAUCACAAUACCAGACCCUAAACUAUACUACAGAGCAAUAGCAACAAAAAUAGCAUGGGAUUAGCACCAACACAGACAUGUAGAUCAGUGGUACAGAAUGGAAGACACAGAGGCAAACCCAUAUAAAUAGAGUUAUCUCUUACUAGACAAAGGCACCAAAAACAUUCACUGGAGAAAAGAUAGCCUAUUCAACAAAUGAUGCUGGGAAAACUGGAAAUCCAAAUGUAACAAAAUGAAAUUAAACCCCUGACUCUCACAUUGCACAAAACUCAACCUCAAAGUGGUUCAAAGACUUAGGCACUAGAAUAGACACACUACAACUAAUAAAAGGAAAAGUAGGCCCACAUCUUCAACAUGUUGGCUUAGAAUCUGACUUCCUUAACAAGACUCCUAAAUCACAAAAAGUAAAAUCAAGAAUAAAUGAGAUGGAUUCAAACAAAAAGCUUCUUCUCAGCAAAGAAAACAAUCAAGAACAUGAAGAGAGAGCUUACAGAAUGGAAGAAAAUCUUUACCACAGGCACCUCAGAUACAGCAUUAAUCUCCAGGAUAUAUAAAGAACUCAAAAAACUUAAUAGCAAAAAAACAAAUAACCCAAUCAAUAAAUGGGCUAAGGAACUGAAUAGACACUUCACAGAAGAAAUACAAUCAAUCAACAUAUGGAAAAAGUUCAUCAUCUCUAGUAAUAAGAGAAAUGCAAAUCAAAACUACUUUAAGAUCUCAUGUCACUCCACUCAAAAUGGCAAUUAUCAAGAAUACAAGCAACAAUAAAUGUUGGCGAGGAUGUGGGGAAAAAAGUACAGUCACACAUGGCUGGUGGGAAUGCAAAUUGGUGCAAGCACUAUGGAAAGCAGUAUGGAAUGGAACCACCAUUUGAUGCAGCUAUUCCUUUCCUUGGUUUAUGCCCCAAAGACUUAAAAUCAACAUACUACAAUGAAUGUGUAAUUGAUGUGAUUCUGCAAUCUGUAUAUGGGCUAAAAAUGGGAGUUCAUAACCCACUUGAAGCAAAGUGUGAAAGAUGAUAUAUCAAGAACUAUGUAAUGUUUUGAACAACCAACAAUAAAAAA
rnacentral:lncRNA from 1 species